rnacentral:lncRNA from 1 species
CAUACAGAGAGAGAGAGAGAGAGAGAGAGAGAGAGAGAGAGAGGUGUAGAAAUCCGUGUGUGAUUAUAUUUGCUUAGUCUUAUGAAGAACUUUGCAAAAGGCAGCAUAUGAGCUCUCAGAUCGUGACCCCUCCCGUAAGACAUUCUAAAUGUAAGAUUGUGUUCCCUGUCCCCUGAUCCCUUCAUAAACCACUAAGGACUGCCAACCAUGUAUUUAACAUGGCUCAUUCAAUGGCAUUUGAUAAGAACAUAUUUAUAAUUUGUUGUAAAACUACUUUAAAAAAAUAUCACUGAACCCAGGGACUCAAUGCAGAUACUCUACCCCUGAGCUUGCCCCAUUGCUAACAUUUAUGGACAAAUGGUGCCGGGGCAGUCUAGAUGUGGAGAACAUCUCUCUCCUGGAUCCCGGAAUGCUGCUCAUUACACAUGCGUGUGCUGCCACCAGACCCCGGCUCCGGUGUCUCCUACCCUAAGCCAGAAAGUAACGGAGACAAGAUGGCAGGCUGAGCUGGGAGAGGGGACAUUCUCAGUGUCCCCAACAGUAUUCCUCCUCUGUCUGCAGCAGCUAAAAUAGAGGAUGGCACCCCACCGCGCCCCCCAAUUCCUAAGAGAAGGAAAAGGAACAUUGGUCACAUUAUCCUGUUUCUGAACCUCUUUCUGUUUUCUGAUGUAACCAGUCUCGGUCUGUUUUCCCUGACGGCCCUUGUUUUUUCCCCAGUAAGAAGCAUGACUCUGAGUACAGACUGAUGUUUUUUUAAACGCUGUCCGACAUCCCGCUUUGAUUUAUAACAAUGGAAUGGCACUGAAGGAAACAACUCAGAAGUAUGUUUUUGUCUGCCGGAUACGUAGAGGCUAUGUAGGAAUGGAGGAGCCUCCUAUGUGAGAACAUAGUGUCAUCACCAUGUGCGGUUAUGCCUUAAAUGCCCUUCCGCUGGGCUCAUUAUAGUCAAAAUGCUGGAAUUUCCAUAAGCAAAUCCUACCUCAGUGUACUCCUGGAUCCUUAAGGAUAGACACCAUAUAUAAUCUGUGCGUUUCUAAGGGAUCUUCGCAGCUU